GAAGAGAAUCAGAAGGGUUAAAGUGAGAAAACUCAUGUGUUUGGAUGAAGUCAGUGUAAUAGGUAAAGCAAAGCUGUGCACACAAGCAAAGCAAAAUAAAGAAUUCAUUUGCUGCUUUCCAUUGGCAGGCAGAUAUUUAGCAGUUCAUAGGAUAGCAGGGCUCCAUCGCAUGUAACAGUUACUUGAGAAGACAAAUGCCGUAACUCAGAUGUAUUUUCCCUCCCAACCCUCUUCCUUACCCUUUUGCUCAGCUUCUGUUGCUGAGUGUGACGUCCUGUGGUGUGGAAUGUCCCUUUGGGCUGCUGGGGCCAGCUGUGUGCCUUCCCGGCGCCUCGUGCACCCCGGCCCACCCGCUGGCAGGGCGGUGCGAGGAACAGAAAGGCCUUGACCCUGUGUGAGCCCUGCUCAGCAGCAACUAAAACACCGGUGUGAUUCCAACACUGUUUUCAUCACAAAUCCAAAACAUAGCACCAUGCCAGCUACCGUGAAGAAAAUUAACUGUAUCCCAACUAAAACCAGCACACUCCCUUCUGAGGAAUCUUUCACAGGACACUUUCUUAUACCAAGAUUGACAAAAUCUUAAAUAUACCAAUGUGGUAGUUGUCUUUCAAAUACUGUUUGGACUGGAUCCGUUAGUCGACUGACUUAAUAUAUUACGUGAUUUAAAUGGAAUGUUACAUUACGUGAAGUUUCCUACAAACCAAUUAUACAGCCUCACACCCCAGCCGAUGAAAAUUAUGUUCUCAUAAUCCAUGUCCUGCUGAACUUUCUGAAUGUGGAGAGGAACUUAGUGUGCCAUAGGCCAAUGUAAAAUAUCCUGUACAACAGUGAAAUCGAUGCACUGGGCUUCACUCUCCCUUGUGUCUACAGGAUCUCUAAAGAAAAACUUCCUCCUGACAUGAACCACGAUCAACUUCUGUUCCUCCCAAAAGGAAGACAUCAGGCAUCCCACAGACUGCACGCCACAAAACGGUGCUUGUAACUGACACUGUUGGAGCUGACAGAGUAUUGAGUGAACUUAAGUAGGAAUAUGAAGCUGAAUUUGAAAUGGCUUAAAAAACAGCAACAAGCAGCAUGGUGGUUUAGAGGAGGAAAAGGACAGAGUGAGUUCAGUGAAUACUCCAGUGCUCUGAAUUUACUUCUGCGCAAUGUGGGAUAGUCAAGGCAAACGGAGUGCUGACAGACACAUCUGAGGGGCCACAGGUUACUUCUGGUCCUAGAAGAACAUCUGUGCCUUCUGGCUGUAGGCUGGUGUGUGGAGGAAAGUAAGACCAUCUUUAGGAUCUUUUCAACAGUGUGGGAAAAUGUAUUUAUAGUAAUGGCAAUAUAAAAAAUUUAAAAUAUUUUAGUGAAAAAAAAUCUAAGUGCUUCAUUCAUCUGUUACAAAAAAGGUAAAGCGAGCCAACUACAACACUAAUUUUCAUACAGAAUUGGUAGCAGGAGAUGAAACUAUUAAGCCACAUCUACUGAAAUCAUUGGCUGGUCAGUUUAGGAUUCUGGUCUUUAAAAUACAUUUCAAUUUGUUUAAACCAAAUGAAACACUAAAAUUACUCUAUGCAAGUAAGCCUUGUUUUAUGCACCAGCUGGUAAUAUUGCCAUCUAAUUCUGCCUGCAAAGAAUGUCAUCUACGAUAUUUUCACAGUAGUGAAGAUAAAACAAAUUAUGGUUUAAAAGCACAGUCUCAUGAAUUUUUCCAGGCUGAGCUUGAUCUCCCUGCUUUGAAAACACAUUCAUAUUCUGCCAAAUGAACGAGAUAGGUAACUUACAGUAGACAUCACUGAAUAGAAAUUUUGGGUCUAAAUUUAGAAGUCAGCAAAGUAAGAUAUCCAUUACAGUCAGUACUUUCAUUGCCAUGUCACAAGCUAACAAUGGUCUCGCCCAUAGAGCUGUGCAAUAGCAGCAUGGCAACAAACCAACCCUCCCGUACUGCCUGUGCUGAGUGCACUGCUACAUUUCUAUACCUUUAAUUUCUAAGUUCAUCUGCAAGAUGAAAAGACACAACAUUAAGGCAGCAAAUUCUGCUUUUUCUUUUUUUCAUGUAUCAUGAUUGCUCACUAAGCCUCAGUGCUUCUAAGUGUUUGUAGGAUUCUUAGGGUAAAAGAAAUAAAAUAAAUCAAAGUACAAACAGACUCAACUAUAACUGCCAUUUUUCUCUUUGAGCCAUGAGUGUGCAUAAGAGUGGAGAGGAGAGGGCAGAGUAGGCCCCACAAAGCAUCCAACGCUUGCAGGCCUUGCUGCAGCAAAGCAUCUAAGCAAUAGCAGUAGCCUUACCAUUACUGGCAACACAUGGGAAUG